rnacentral:rRNA from 1 species
UGGUGGAGCGAUUUGUCUGGUUAAUUCCGUUAACGAACGAGACCUCAGCCUACUAAUUAGUUUGUCCAAUGUCUCAUUGGAUAAACUUCUUAGAGGGACUAUCGGAUAUACAGCCGGUGGAAGUGUGAGGCAAUAACA